rnacentral:sRNA from 1 species
UUAUAUUCUCCACAGGGGGGGAUGAGAACCCCCGACCGGGGUUCGACAACUGGCGCAGCCAGUUGGACAGACCGCGAGCCUGCGAGCGGGCUGCCCCGCAGGGCGAGCGAAGCGAGUCAAUCCCCCCCUCACCGCCA